rnacentral:rRNA from 1 species
CCUACGGGUGGCAGCAGUGAGGAAUAUUGGUCAAUGGACGAGAGUCUGAACCAGCCAAGUCGCGUGAAGGAUGACUGCCCUAUGGGUUGUAAACUUCUUUUAUCAGGGAAUAAAAUGUUCCACGUGUGGGCUUUUGUAUGUACCAUAUGAAUAAGGAUCGGCUAACUCCGUGCCAGCAGCCGCGGUAAUACGGAGGAUCCGAGCGUUAUCCGGAUUUAUUGGGUUUAAAGGGGGCGUAGGUGGAUUGUUAAGUCAGUUGUGAAAGUUUGCGGCUCAACCGUAACAUGGCAGUUGAAACUGGCAGUCUUGAGUACAGUAGAGGUGGGCGGAAUUCGUGGUGUAGCGGUGAAAUGCUUAGAUAUCACGAAGAACUCCGAUUGCGAAGGCAGCUCACUGGACUGCAACUGACGCUGAGGCUCGAAAGUGUGGGUAUCAAACAGGAUUAGAUACCCCUGUAGUC